rnacentral:rRNA from 1 species
CCUAAGGUAGCGAAAUUCCUUGUCGGGUAAGUUCCGACCUGCACGAAUGGCGUAACGACUUCCCCGCUGUCUCCAACAUAGACUCAGUGAAAUUGAAUUGCCUGUCAAGAUGCAGGCUUCCCGCGGUUAGACGGAAAGACCCCGUGCACCUUUACUACAACUUUACACUGAUAACAGGCACAACAUGUGCAGAAUAGGUGGUAGGCUUUGAAGCAGAAACGCCAGUUUUUGUGGAGCCUCCUUUGAGAUACCACCCUUGUUUUGCUUGUUAUCUAACUGCGGUCCGUUAUCCGGAUCCAGGACCCUGUAUGGUGGGUAGUUUGACUGGGGCGGUCGCCUCCUAAAGCGUAACGGAGGCGCGCGAAGGUUGGCUCAGAGCGGUCGGAAAUCGCUCGUUGAGUGCAAUGGCAGAAGCCAGCCUGACUGCGAGACUGACAAGUCGAGCAGAGUCGAAAGACGGCCAUAGUGAUCCGGUGGUCCCGAGUGGAAGGGCCAUCGCUCAACGGAUAAAAGGUACGCCGGGGAUAACAGGCUGAUGGUGCCCAAGAGUCCAUAUCGACGGCACCGUUUGGCACCUCGAUGUCGGCUCAUCUCAUCCUGGGGCUGGAGCAGGUCCCAAGGGUACGGCUGUUCGCCGUUUAAAGAGGUACGUGAGCUGGGUUUAGAACGUCGUGAGACAGUUCGGUCCCUAUCUGCCGUGGGUGUAGGAUACUUGAGAGGAGUUGCCCCUAGUACGAGAGGACCGGGGUGAACGAUCCACUGGUGGACCAGUUGUCGACUACGGCAGUGCUGGGUAGCUAUGAUCGGACAGGAUAACCGCUGAAAGCAUCUAAGCGGGAAGCCCCCCUCAAAACAAGGUAUCCCUGAGGACCGAGGUAGACCACCUCGUCGAUAGGCCAGAGGUGUAAGCGUGGUAACACGUUCAGCUGACUGGUACUAAUGGUCCGAUAGGCUUGAUUUG